rnacentral:misc_RNA from 1 species
UUCAGAGUCCCGGAUUGUAUUUUCAACUGUAGCGGCUACUCGUUGAACUCAGAUGCUUCUUCUUCAAAAUCACGAAGCACAUUGAACUGCAAAUUCUAAAGUCGGCUGGAGAACCCAAAUCAAGCAAAACCAACUGGUGUCCCAAUUCUCCUCUAUUUUAGUCCAAAGACACAAUUGGGUCUCACUUCUCCAGAAUCUUAAUCUCUCUUCCAAGCUUACCCCUUCUUUUUUUCCUCCUAAUCAUCCUCAAAACCCAAUCCCAUCCUCAAAUUCUUCAUCCGGGCCAUUUCCAAUCUAAAAUUCAAGCCAGACCUCAAAUCUCAAUGCUAUGUCACCCAAGUUUCUGUCGGGUCGGAUCUUUCCAUUUCUGCAAAGACCAUCCUGGAUUCUCUGGUUUGAACCCACUCUGCAGAUGUACUCGUGAAGACCAUGGUUGAAGCUUGUAGAGAUAACAAUUAGCAGCAAUCUGAUUCAUUGCGUUGUUCUUGAAUUUUAUUUGCGUAAGGGUUUGUUUAUUGGAGGUGUAUUGGAAAAUGAGAUUUGUUGGAUGUACUCCUUCAGUUCAAGCCUUUAAUACACUUCUUGAUGUUUUGCAACGAGAAAAUAAGAUUAAAUUAGCUUGGUGUUUUAUGGUUCCAUGAUUCGAGUUGGAAUUUUGCUGUAUAAGUUUACUUGUUCACUGGUUGUUCAUAUAUUCUGCUUUAAGAUGGGAAAUUUGAGAGAAAUGUUAAGUUGUUAGACAUGGUUAUUUGUAAUUCAGUCAUGUAUAAUGCUGUUGUUGAUUAUUAUAGCAGAAGUGAGGAUUCUGAAGCUGUAUUUUAUCGCUUAAAUGAGAUGUCCCAUUCAGUACCUAUAGCUCCACACUGGAUGGAGCUUGCAAAUGUGGAAAAGUUGAAGUGAUUGAGAAAGUAAUAGCAACAAUGGUGGAGAAAGGAUUGCUUCCUAAGCCUCCUUUAUCUGAAUGUGGCUCAAUUAUCCAUGGGUUUUGCGAUUUGGGAAAUAUGAAUGCUACAACAAUGUUUUUCAAGAGAGCUUGUGAUGAGAGGAUUGAAUUGCAGGAUGCUAUGGGAAGCUAUCGGUUUAUACCGAGUAAUAAGUGGAAGAGUUAUCACAAUAAAGAAUAGUGCCUAUCGAGCAUUUGUAAAUCUUCUGGUGAGGAAGAUCAAUCUGAGGACAGAUAUGGAAUACUUGAAGGAUAUCAUGAGAAGGGGUUCUAGUCCUUUUACAUGUAGUUUGUGUAAAUUUAUCUCAUCGCUACGCAGGGAAAAAAAUUGGGGAGAGGUGGGCGAGCUGUUGAAUGCGGUUCUAGAGAAAGGGUUAUUGCCAGAUUCAUUACCCUUUUGCUUCCUAGUAAUGUUUGCUCCAGCAGACGGAUUGAUAAAGCCAUUGCUUUGCAUAAUAACUUGGAGAAAUCGCAAGCAAGUUUGGAUGUAACAACAGAUAACGUACUUCUUGAUGGUUUAGUUAAAGAAGGGAGGAUUGAAGAAUCAAUUACGGUGUUUGAUUAUAUGAAAGGACUCAAAUUAGUUAAUAGUGCAAGUUUUACAGUUAUAAUCCGUGGGCUUUGUCAUGCAAAGGAGAUGAGAAAAGCAAUGAAG